rnacentral:rRNA from 1 species
UGCGCUGGCGGACGGUCUAACACAUGCAAGUCGAGCGCGAAAGGCCUUCGGGCUGAGUAGAGCGGCGGACGGGUGAGUAACGCGUAGGAAUCUACCUGGUAGUGGGGGACAACUUGGGGAAACUCAAGCUAAUACCGCAUACGCCCUAAGGGGGAAAGCGGGGGACCUUCGGGCCUCGUGCUAUCGGAUGAGCCUGCGUAGGAUUAGCUAGUUGGUGAGGUAAAGGCUCACCAAGGCGACGAUCCUUAGCUGGUCUGAGAGGAUGAUCAGCCACACUGGGACUGAGACACGGCCCAUACUCCUACGGGAGGCAGCAGUGGGGAAUAUUGGACAAUGGGCGCAAGCCUGAUCCAGCCAUGCCGCGUGUGUGAAGAAGGCCUUCGGGUUGUAAAGCACUUUAAGUGGGGAGAAAGGCCCGUUGGCUAAUAACCAGCGGGAUUGAUGUUACCCACAGAAUAAGCACCGGCUAACUCCGUGCCAGCAGCCGCGGUAAUACGGAGGGUGCGAGCGUUAAUCGGAAUUACUGGGCGUAAAGCGCGCGUAGGCGGUUUGUUAAGUCAGCUGUGAAAGCCCCGGGCUCAACCUGGGAACUGCAGUUGAUACUGUCCGACUAGAGUACGAGAGAGGGAGGUAGAAUUCCAUGUGUAGCGGUGAAAUGCGUAGAUAUAUGGAGGAAUACCAGUGGCGAAGGCGGCCUCCUGGCUCGAUACUGACGCUGAGGUGCGAAAGCGUGGGGAUCAAACAGGAUUAGAUACCCUGGUAGUCCACGCCGUAAACGAUGUC